rnacentral:misc_RNA from 1 species
AGAGGCGGCGGACGUCGUCGACGGCGACGAGAUCGGAGUCGAGGUAGACAACGCGGCGGACGCAGAGGGGGAGGAGGUCGGCGAGGUAGGUGCGGGCGUAGUUGAGGGGGUUCUCGAGGGCGGCGCGGACGGAGGGGGAGAUCAGCCCCGAGAGGCGGUCACCGGCGAGGCGGUAGAUCUGGAAGUGGAGGUUGGGGAAGGCGGAGACGAUCGCUCGCCGGAGCGCCGGCGAGUUGUCGGAUUUCGCGGCGAUGAAGUGGAAGAAGAGGAGAUCGGGGCAGGUGGCGUGUUUGAGGAGGGAGUGGACGGCGGCGACGGAGCCUCGGAGGUAGGAGGCGUCGAGCGUUAUUGCGAUGUGGAUAGCGGCGGGGUUGCAGACGUCGUCGGAUACGGCGGCGGGGCAGCUGUCGCCGUUGCGGAAGUGAGGGGCCUCGGCGUAGAAGCUGGAGGUGUCGAUAGGUACGUCGCGGA